CAGGAUUGGAUUGGAAACCUUGUGUCCCUUGAAACCCUUAAGCUACGGUCUUGCCAAAAGCUUCAAUCUUUACCACCCGAGGCCGACAUGAGACGCCUCAACAAGUUAACUUGUGUUGAAGUUUAUCGGUGUCCUCUAUUAAGACAACGAUACACUCCCCAAAGAGGCAUAUACUUGGAGGAGGAGAUUUCAAGUGAUCCGGGACAGCGAACAAGAAGGCAAUGAUGGUGCUCAAACAUCAGUCUCAUGUUGUUUCCCAUCGUUGCUGAAGAAGGAGAAACCAGGAGAGUCUUAGAAAGCAGACCUCAUGUUGUUCGACAAAGACACCACCUUUUGCUGUUACAUUUCUUACAAGAUUGCCAGGGGGCAGAAGUUAUUUUCACUGACUAGACAGGUUUGAAGAUGAAGUUAGUAAUCAAUGAUGAGAAUCUUGCACAUCAGAGAGCGCUAGCUUUGAUGGAGGCUUCACCAAUAGGUGGUUCUCCCCAGGUUUCCCAAACAUAUGCUUUUAGUCAUCUCCUGCUGGGACUGCAAAAAGAAAGGAAAUACUUUAGCUUGUUCAUCUUCAGGGCAGUUUUGAUAGUUUUGUAUCUGCAUUCUUGAUAUGUUUUUCGUAAAUCAAUUACCAAAACUUUUUUUUCCCUUUGGUGUAGCAUGCUGAUUGCUGAACAAAUUGGAAGAGACCAAAAUUCUGUGUUUUCUCUGCCUCUCUGAACUACUGAAAGAUUUGAACAUCUUAAAUCUCUUUAACUUCAACUUGUUACAUUCUAUUUGGCCAAGGACGAAAUUAUUAGCAAUGGUUCAUACCCAAUUAGCCUCUUCGUUUGAAUGUGCUACAAAAUGUUUCAUUUGACGUGCAAUGCUAGAUGUACAUGGACUCAUUCUUUAUUUUUCUGUCAUUGAUAUUGCCAGUCUCAACGGAUAACAUUAAAGCUAAUCGAGAAACGAUUUUCAAAGAAAAUUCAUGAUACAAUCUGCUAUUCUUUGGGACUCUGUGUACUUAUUGCCAUAAAAUUGGAUCAGUCUAUUUGAACUUCAAAUAUGUAUGUGGAGGAACUAGAGUGCAUUGAUAUUAUGAUGUAUA